UGAGGAAUUUUGCGCAAUGGGCGAAAGCCUGACGCAGCGACGCCGCGUGGGCGAUGAAGCUCUUUGGAGUGUAAAGCCCUGUCAGGUGGGACGAAACCGUCUGGGCAAACAGUCCGGACGCUGACGGUACCACCAGAGGAAGCCCCGGCUAACUCUGUGCCAGCAGCCGCGGUAAUACAGAGGGGGCUAGCGUUGUUCGGAAUCACUGGGUGUAAAGGGUGCGUAGGCGGUCCGUUAAGUCUGAUGUGAAAGCCCUGGGCUCAACUCAGGAAUGGCAUUGGAAACUGGCGGGCUGGAGUACUGGAGAGGGAAGCGGAAUUCCUGGUGUAGCGGUGAAAUGCGUAGAUACCAGGAGGAACACCGGUGGCGAAGGCGGCUUCCUGGCCAAGUACUGACGCUGAGGCACGAAAGCGUGGGGAGCGAACGG
rnacentral:rRNA from 1 species